rnacentral:misc_RNA from 1 species
CUGAGUGAGGGUCUCCAAUUGGCCCGACCUCCCAACCCCUUGUUUAUUGAACCUUUGUUUGCUUCGGCGGGCCCGUCUUCAUUGACCGCCGGAGGGGGGGCUGUCGCGAGACGACUUCCCCCCCGGCCAGCGUCCGCCGGUAGCCCAACUACCUAAACUCGAUGCAAAUCAUGCUCAAAUGUCUAAGUGAAUGGUUAAAUGAAAAAGCA